GCCGCCUACGGGGCGCAGCAGUGGGGAGUAUUGGGCAAUGGGCGCAAGCCUGACCCAGCAACGCCGCGUGAAGGAAGAAGGCUUUCGGGUUGUAAACUUCUUUUCUCAGGGACGAAUAGAUGACGGUACCUGAGGAAUAAGCCACGGCUAACUACGUGCCAGCAGCCGCGGUAAUACGUAGGUGGCAAGCGUUAUCCGGAUUUACUGGGUGUAAAGGGCGUGCAGGCGGGGACGCAAGUCAGAUGUGAAAACC
rnacentral:rRNA from 1 species